UUUAUUUUUUAUUUUUCACGCAUCCUGUCUAGAAUGUAUGGCGUAAACAGCAGACGUUGAGGUGGUGCGCUCAGCAGAGCGACCCAUUAGGUUACCCCUCCCCACCCUGGAAUAUACAUACAGCAAGAGGGUGAGGGCAAGAGCCAGGAAAACCAGGCAAGACGCCUCUCCCCCAGAUGCUGGUCUCUUCAGCCUGCUGCAGUCAGGCAGACGCCCACGCUGCCUUAAAGCUCGGACUGAGAGACUGAGGAGGAGCUUCUUUCUGCAGGCAGUUAGACUGCUUAACUCCGGGGGACUGUAACUGCCACUCUUGCACUUUCUGCAUCCAUGCACGUUCUAUGCACUUUUAUAUAUAUAUAUUUUUAACACCUCAUUAAGGGAUGUCUGUUUUUAAAUUUCUAUUAUCUAUUAUUCAUUCAGCUUCCAGUAAUUUGCACAAUGAAUGACACAGUGGUGACCCCUUUUUAAUUUCACUGCAUGUAAAAUGUUAUUUUUGCAAACAUGUGACCAAUAAAACUUUGAAUUUGAAUGUACAAUAUAAACAUAUUUAUUAAUUUAUUCAAUUCCUUUAUUAACAACAUUAUGAGAGUAGCAAAUAACUAAUAAUGAAUGAAACAUCAUGAACAUCGUCACAGCCACACAAAUAUACCACACUUGUCAGUGAAGCCUUACAAACCCGAGCAUUUAAAACCCCCAGUGUUAAGUGGCAGUUAAUAAGGCAUGCCUAUGAAAAAAAGCUCCUCUCAUAUUCAUACUAUUUACCCUAAUUUAUCUAAUCUAAUUUUAAGCUUAUACUUUGUACAGCUUUAGAAACGUAAUUCACAUCCAGGUCACAAUAUUGAGGAAAUCAAACUAGAUUUGGACCUGUUUGAUAGACUUCAGGGGCAGGUUUCUCUCACAGCAGAAUACAGGCUCUCCUGAGUCCUUUCACUGUUCUUCUUCCCUCCUUUGGUUUUUCUGCCAGAGAACUCUAGCUCUGCAUGGUUCAAGGAAUUGGUUUCCCCGUCCUAUAA